NNNNNNNNNNNNNNNNNNNNNNNNNNNNNNNNUGAAGCGCCCGAGGGCGAGGCGUGCGGGGGUGCCAGCGGUUCCCAGGGGACAGCGCGGACUGGGGGCAGAGGGAGGGAGCACGGCCAGGGGCACCGGGGCCGGGGGAUCGGGGCCGGGGGGAUUUGGGGCCACUGGAGCGGGCCCCGGUCCUGCCAAGCCACGGGGCUGCGGUGGCAGCAGUGGGGUCGAUGCCGGGCCCCCAGCAUCGCGGCACCCCUGGGUGCUGCGUGGCCGUGGGCUGCCCGUGGGGACACCGGGGACACCCCCGUGUUUGGUGGCCUGGGGGACAGACGCGUCUCUCCCCUCUCCCGGGGAUGUGCAGCCACCGAGGCAGCGCCGACCACCGCCCGGGCGGCCCCUCCAGCACACCCUCCUGUACCCCCACAGCUCCGUUUCAGAUUAAAACCCCCAGGGUGAGCCAGGAGACGGUGUUUUUCCAAAGUCCCCGUGCCCAGGCCCUGCCCAGGCUCGGGGCUCAGCACCUCGCUCCCAGGGGCAGGAUGGGGGCCCGGUGCCUGCAGGGGGGCACCCGCCGCUCGCGGGCUCGGUGCUGGACGGAGCUCAGUGCCCGCACGGAGCAGGGCUGGGGCUGGGGGGGGAGCGGGGGGCCGGAUCCUGCUGCAGAGCUGUGGUGCUGCGGGCAGGGCAGUGCCUGGGGGCUGGGGGGCUGGGGUCCGUGUUGGGUGACCCUUUUGGUGUGGGGGUCCCAGCUGUGGUGUGGGGGUCGCAGCUGUGGUGUGGGGGCUCGUCUGUGGUAUGGGGGGCUCGGCAGCAGUGUGGGGGCUCAGCCAUGGCCUGGGGCGCUCUGCUGUGGUGUGGGGGACCCAGCAGCAACAUGGGGGCUCAGCCACGGCCUGGGGGGCUCAGCCCUGGUGUGGGUGUCCCAGCCAUGGUGUGGGGGCUCUGCUGUGGUGUGGGGGGCUCGGCAGCAAUGUGGGGGCUCAGCCAUGGUCCGGGGGGCUCAGCUGUGGUGUGGGGGUGCCAGUCGUGGUAUGGGGGCUCUGCUGCGGUGUGGGGGGACCAGCAGCAACGUGCGGGCUCAGCCAUGGCCUGGGGGGCUCCACAGCAACGUGGGGGCUCAGCCGUGCCGGAGGGGCUCAGCCGCAGGACGGGGGCUCCUCCACGCCCCGGGGCGCAGCACAGCACCCGCCAAGGCCCUGGUGCCCCGGUGUGAGCGCGUUGAUUCAGGCCGGGUGCCGCCCGCUCCCGCGCCCGUCGCAGAGCCACGUUCACCUCCCUGCUCGCCUGCGUCACGCGCGGCCGCGGUGCUGCUGGACGGGGCGGGGGCUCUGCGGCUGCAGCCCCUCGCCCCGUGCCCAGCCCCAGGCGGCCCCCGCGGCUCCGCGCUGUGCUCCAACGUCCCCGGGUGAUGUCUCGGUUCCCGGAGCGCCGGCACCUGCCGAGGGGUCUGGGAGCCGUGGUGCAGGUGCCAGGGACGCAGGGGCACGGCGGGGCUCGGGCAGGGGGGCACCAGAGCCUCCACGAAGCCCCCCAGGGAUGGGGGGGCUCUGCUGCUUUCCCUCCCCGUCCCUGUCCCCGUGCCUGUCCCAAGCGGGUGCUGGCCAUGCGGGUGCAGCCCCCCCGCUCCCCCCCCGCCCCCAAAGCGCGCUCUGACCCCAGCGGGACACGGGCCCGGGGCUC
rnacentral:lncRNA from 1 species